UGGAUCCAGACUUUGAUUAUGGCUCAGGAUGAACGCUAGCUACAGGCUUAACACAUGCAAGUCGAGGGGAAACGACAUCGAAAGCUUGCUUUUGAUGGGCGUCGACCGGCGCACGGGUGAGUAACGCGUAUCCAACCUGCCCACCACUUGGGGAUAACCUUGCGAAAGUAAGACUAAUACCCAAUGACGUCUCUAGAAGACAUCUGAAAGAGAUUAAAGAUUUAUCGGUGAUGGAUGGGGAUGCGUCUGAUUAGCUUGUUGGCGGGGUAACGGCCCACCAAGGCAACGAUCAGUAGGGGUUCUGAGAGGAAGGUCCCCCACCUUGGAACUGAGACACGGUCCAAACUCCUACGGGAGGCAGCAGUGAGGAAUAUUGGUCAAUGGACGAGAGUCUGAACCAGCCAAGUAGCGUGCAGGAUGACGGCCCUAUGGGUUGUAAACUGCUUUUAUAAGGGAAUAAAGUGAGUCUCGUGAGACUUUUUGCAUGUACCUUAUGAAUAAGGACCGGCUAAUUCCGUGCCAGCAGCCGCGGUAAUACGGAAGGUCCGGGCGUUAUCCGGAUUUAUUGGGUUUAAAGGGAGCGUAGGCCGGAGAUUAAGCGUGUUGUGAAAUGUAGACGCUCAACGUCUGCACUGCAGCGCGAACUGGUUUCCUUGAGUACGCACAAAGUGGGCGGAAUUCGUGGUGUAGCGGUGAAAUGCUUAGAUAUCACGAAGAACUCCGAUUGCGAAGGCAGCUCACUGGAGCGCAACUGACGCUGAAGCUCGAAAGUGCGGGUAUUGAACAGGAUUAGAUACCCUGGUAGUCCGCACGGUAAACGAUGGAUGCCCGCUGUUGGUCUGAAUAGGUCAGCGGCCAAGCGAAAGCAUUAAGCAUCCCACCUGGGGAGUACGCCGGCAACGGUGCAACUCAAAGGAAUUGACGGA
rnacentral:rRNA from 1 species